UUCGACGUAACUUGAAAAACAAUUAUUGAUAUUUGCUAACUUUUGCCGUUAUAAAUAAACAUAUGCAGACUUACUGGGUAUAAAGACCAUUUUGGGCACGUCAGCUGAUAAGAUAUUCUCUCUAAUAAGCAACUAUGUCAAAAACUGUUCUAAUAUUGUUACUACUGGGAGUUUUGGCGAUUACUUUCGCUAAGGGACAAGUCUGUCCCAUCUUUACGUGUAAUGUUUCUGGAGUGCCUUGCUGUGGUUUUCCCAAAUACACACUGAUAGAAGGAUUUAUUUUGCAGGUGUGAGGUAGAGGAUUCUACAAGUGGAUUAGGAUCAUGCAAAUUCAAACUGAUGUGGGGAGAAGGAAAAGAAUAACGCUUGAAAAAAACCCAGGCAGCUAAUUACACGUUCAAGAACUUCAACAGACUGGAUAAUCCUUUAAACACAUUUGGGAAUUGCAAAUUGAAGCCACGUCACCACAAGAAGAAAGCGUUUGCUUGAAUAGAUUAGUAAUUACAUUGUGGGAGUACUUUUCCACUCUCGGAAAUUUUGUGUCAACCACCGUACUCUUUGGGCCAUAAAAUCCCUUCCCCGGCAUUCAAGGGGCUCAUGACGUCACGGGACCCCAAGACCAACGCUAAGUGUUAGCAAAGGCUAACACCCUCAAGAGUCAAGGGGCAUGAGGCAGAUUUUCCUCAGCCACUGAAAUAUACACACUUACGGUCUAGGACACAUCCUAUUUUCCUUUAUUUCACGCAUCGUAUUAUUGUAAUCGCGAAGUACUAUAUUGACUAUUAUUUAUACACGAAAUUUAUCUAUUGUAUUGUUUUCUGAUAACUAUAUUCUACGGGAUUGAUUAUUUAUUGUGAGAUUUAAUUAACUUCAUCCGAAUAUUGUAAA